rnacentral:rRNA from 1 species
UACGGAGGGAGCUAGCGUUGUUCGGAAUUACUGGGCGUAAAGGGCGCGUAGGCGGUCAGGUCAGUCCCGUGUGAAAUCCCUCGGCUCAACUGAGGAACUGCACGGGAAACUGCCUGGCUUGAGUUCGGGAGAGGGAAGCGGAAUUCCGGGUGUAGCGGUGAAAUGCGUAGAUAUCCGGAGGAACACCGGUGGCGAAGGCGGCUUCCUGGACCGACACUGACGCUGAGGCGCGAAAGCUAGGGGAGCAAACGGG